GGACUAUCAUGUCGGUCGUGCCUCGGUACGUACUGGUAUUGUUGGUUUCUCCCUUCUGACGAACCACGAUGUCAUUUAUUUGGUGUUGUUGGGGAAUCAGGACUGUUACUUUGAAAAAUUUAGGGUGUUUAAAGCAGGCUCACGCUUGAAUACAUCAGCAUGGAAUAAUGAAAUAGGACGUUUGAUCCUAUUUUGUUGGUUUCUAGGAUUGACGUA
rnacentral:rRNA from 1 species